GGUCUGGUGGUGUAGCGGUAACACACCCUCUAUUAUUACGCCAAAAUAUCUCCACAGUUCCGAGGAAUCCUCUUGUUCGAAUCAAGGCCAGGCCA